CAGCAAUAAAUACGGAAUCCAACAGCCUUUGCAACUCUUAGUGGAUUCAUUUCACAGUCAAUUGGCACUGCAAGGCUGUCGAGUUGCCGUUAUUGAGGAGCCACGCUGCCAAGAGAGAGCACAAAGGUCCCAGUGAUGGUCUGAACAUCAUUAUCUGGCAUCGCAGCACGAUUGCUGACUCUGCAGCUGAAGCUGACAGAUGGAUGGAGCGCGCUAUCAUCAUGACACAGGAGGACGCCUCGAACAGCGAGCCCGCUUAAUUAGAUCAUUAGAAUCUCCGUCGUGCUUAAGGAAACAAACGAGCGUUGGAGGAGGGUGGAGAGAAACACUCACGGACUCUCUCUCCUGUAACAAUAGGGGAAGAUCGUUACGAGAGGUGACACCGUUCCACUGAACACAGAUGGAUCUCGUCAUCGCGAAGCGGAAAUGACGACGGAAUUCUGAAAAGCUGAUGUACAUGAUGUAAUAAAUAAAUGACAAGCUCCGAUUAACAUGUUCCUCGUCCUAUAAACAUGGCGGCCGCUCCGGACUCCACUUCCCAUAAUGCACUGGUUCACAGUCGCCAGUCGUCAGAUCACACUCCUUUGUACUUAAUCUCUCUCUCUCUCUCUCUCUCUCUCUCUCUCUCUCUCUCUCUCUGUCCGUCUCUCUCUCUGAGUUCUGAUGACACCAAGCCUUUGUUCUUUGAUCAUGUUUUCCUGCUUUGACCUUGUUUUCGUGCCAAGAUUUAAAUUUUUAUUUUUUUUUAAGUGCUUUCAAUUAACAUUUUCUUCUAAUUAAAACUGAGCUUUAUACACAAACCUGAAUCACAUAAAAAAAUCUAAAUCAAACAAAUACAAGA